GCCAACAUGGUGACUGCACAUGGUUCUCUACAUAUAUUUCCAGGCAAUGUCUGCCUGAACACCGCCUGCUGCCGGAGAGGCUCUGUCCUUGGCCAGAUGGAGCUCCAUGCCAGCGACUGAACCCCAAUCAUUAAUAGCAGCUGCAGACCCCAGGAGCUCCCUGCAAAAGCAGGAAUGCCAGUUGCAAUGAGAAACUUUCCACUGCCUACAAUUAAAGGGAGAGAAACUACACUGGAGUGUGAAGAUGGAGAAACUGCUCUGAGAUAGGCCACAAUAGCAUCUGGAACCUCCUGUGAUCAGCUGCCAGGAUCCUUUAAUGAGAAGUUGCGUGUUCCUUGAUGUCUCUCUGGGAGUCGCUCAAGAGAAAAGGAGAUGUUAGCCAAGAUGGGAUUUUCCCAGAAGAAUUCUUUAGAAAAGUGCCAGAACCUUUACCUUCCACCUUGACAGUCCCCAGAGACAAACUGAAAGGACCUCGCUUAAUGUCUCAUCCGAAGGGUAUUUGCAAUGCUGGCUUCAUCAUUCAAAGCAGGAAAGGCCUUUGUCAUGGUCAGAUGGCUUUAAUGUGUUCUGAAUGCUACAUAAAUUCAAACUUGAUGGCUCAUUUAUUUGUUGGAUUGAAGUUUUAUACAAUAAACUAAGCCUUGGUAUUUA